GCUGGGCAUGGUGGCAUGUGCCUCUAGUCCUGCUUACUUGGGAGGCUGAAGCAGGAGGAACCCUUGAGCCCAAAAGUUCUGGGCUGUAGUGAGUUAUGCCAAUUGAGUGUCUGCACUAAGUUCAGCAUCAGUAUGGUAAUCUCCUGUUAGCGGGGCCUAUGGGGCUGGCAAAGGAGGGGUGAAUGGACCCAGGUCAGAAGCAGAGCAGGUCAUAACUCCGGUGCUGAUCAGUAGUUGGAUCACCUGUGAAUAGCCACUGCACUCCAGCCUGGGCAACAUAGCAAGACCCUAUUUUUA
ensembl:misc_RNA Metazoa_SRP Metazoan signal recognition particle RNA